rnacentral:lncRNA from 1 species
AACAACAAACACGUAGUUGAACAAGUAGAGAAAUCUAACAACUCAAUUAUAAAAAAAACAUAACAAGAAUUUAUCCUACAAAAGGUUCCAUCAAAACCUUAGUUAACAAAUUAGCUAUUCAUAGUCAUGCUAAGAAUCACGAUAAUAAUUGAAAGCAUAAAAGUACAGAUUAAGGGAGAACGGAAGAGAAAACUCUUGUGAUUCGUUGCUUUCAAGUGUUCUCGUAGCCUUUUGCUUCUCCAAUAAUAUAAGAAAUAGGUUUAGAACCUUUUUUAUACACGUUGAGGGUGUGUAGGGUUGAAACUACCAAGUCCUAGAUGAACUAGGACGAAAUCCGUCCUUGGGCAUCUCGCUUGGUGCAUGGCGCCAACCUGGACACCGAACUUUUUUCACUUUUGUGCUCUGCUGCCCUUGGCGUUUUGGUUGGUGCCUGGCGCGAACCUGGACACCAAAGUCAUACUCCCUCCAAAUUCUUCUAUUUUUACUUCAAUUUACAUGCAAGUUUGCCAAAUCACUUCCAAUUGACUCCUACACAUAUAAACACCAUUAUUAAGUUCGAGUCAUAAAUAAUCACACCAAAAUUAACAAGAUCGCGGUAUAAUGCAAGGCAAAUUACAUGCAAAAAUAUGAAUUUUUAGCCUAACAUCAGCCUCAUGGACAACGAGUCAAUGACCUAACUAAACUUUUAAACAAGGUCGGUCUAUUAUCACAAUUCAUUUUGCAAGAGGAUUUGGUCUAAAAUCUUACUUACUGUGACACUAUUAUAUACAUAAAUAUUACUUUUUCAAUCCCAAUUUAUGCUAUAUAGUUCAGAUUCAAGAGUCAAACUUUUUAAUUUUGAUCAUGAAUUAGAGCAUAGAAUUUUUAAAUUUUUGUAAAUAAAAUUUACAUAUUUGAAAAAUACAUAAAAUGUACUAUAAUCACAAUAAUUAAUAAUUUAAAAUAUUUAAAAGCAUAAAAAAAUUGCUAUCAAAAAAAAAACUCAUUUAACUCUUGAAAAUCGAAUAUCGCAACAUAAAUUGAGAUGAUUAGAGUAUUUUUGAAAAAUAUUAUUGAUAUACCAUUGUAAGAAUUUUUUGCUGGUUGUAUCAGAUGACACACUCCUAAGUUGAGAGUAUCUCUGUCACUGCUCGUGGGUAGUAUUUGAAAAGGUGGAUUUGUAUCUCAUACAAAGUAACUCAAACAUGACAAUAAACACAAGGUAUCUCGAAUGAAAUAGCCAGAGUUGCAAAGGUAAUAAGCUUAUGAACAUGACAAUAAACACAAGGCAAAUACAAAAGCUUAUCCUUGCCAAAAGAUAAAGUUAGAGCUGUCAAAAUUCGUAAGAAGUUUAGCCGGAUUGGGAAAAAAUUACUCUAUACAUUCUCUAUGUCUAUUUGGGUUGUGCCAAAGUUGACCUAAGUGCCCAACUGACUCAUGAUAUUGACCAAAAUCGAGUCGUAUAGCUUGCCAAAAUUAGAAAAACCGAAAAGGUUGAGACACUCAACCAUCUGUAGCUGAAAGUUUUGCUUCGAUUUAUGUAAGGAAAUCUGUAUACUGCCCAUUUUGGGAUACACUCAACUAUAGAUUUAUUAGCAAUAAGACAUAUGAGCUCAUCUAAGGUUGUAGUAAUUGUUUACCCGAAAAUCGGAUAGAAUUGAAUUUGUGUAUGGUUCUAAGGACACAUGAUAUAACUUGAUACAAAUUGUAGAGCGAAAAUGUAAAAAUCUCUUUUCUUGGCAAAAUGGAAUGAAAUAUGAAACAGAGAAAAGGAAAUGUUCAUGAAUCAGGCAACGUGCCCCGUAAAUGUGUUAACAUCCCUCCUUUUAUAUUAGAGUGAUCCUACUUUUUCUAUAAUAAUAAAAAUAUGUAGUGGAGAUCCCACGAUGAAUUGUCUUUUCCUUGAUUUCUGCCAAGAUUCUCUCCCAUAGUGUGGUUGCAACGGCUAUUGUCUGCGAGCUCGAUACUGGCUCGAGCUCGGUAUUGGAUCGAGCCCUUGGUCUUGGUUCGAGCUCGAUUCUGACUUGGGGUCUCGAUAUUCGGGGUGAGUGUUGGUCGGUCUAGGCAUCUUUGAUAAUCUCCGCCUUGCCUCGUAGUUCGAUUUGGAUAUGAGCUCGAUAAUGAUACCGAGCUUGUCAUUGAUUGGUCUCAUAGCUCGAAGCUCGACGCCCUUACUUCGGACCUCGACCGAGCUUGUCAUACAGAUACCCUUUGAUCGAAACAUCAUCGUCUCGACCAGUCCGUACGACUGAGUCAAUCGGUUUUGACCGUACACAAAUAGUCCCCCCGUUUCUCGGAAAGGUAUGUGGCGAGAAACGAUAUGAUUUCGCAACAACUCGAUCAGAUAUAUGCUGAAGUUUAUAUCGAUCCCGACCAUGACGUAUGUGAUAGCUAUCCCAUCGGCUCGGUUUUACCGAGGCAUUUAAUGUGUGUCAGAUGGCGGUCGACCAAUAGCCUUUCCUUCCGCCAUUAAUCACUUUUACGUCUUCAAUCCUCCAAAUUUUCUAAGUUCCUUUUCGUCUUUUCUGAGUUUUCUACCUGCAAAUCUGUGAGUUUUACUACAAUUUCUUUCUUAAAACAUCAAAUACUCCCGUUCUUUGUUCACGGAAUUUUAAAUGGAAAAAACGUCUAAAACUGUUCUGCAAAAAGAGACCGCUUCUUUUACACAUAGAGUUGUAGGUAAUUCUAAUGUUCCUCCUUUUGUUUGUAGGCUUGGGUGUUGCAUCACGAGGCUUUUCUUCGAAUCCGGGAGGAGCAUGAUGCCGAGGUUCGGAGCCUCACUGAGAAGAGCGACUCGUACAAGCUCCUUAGUGAAAAACUUCAAGCAGAUUUGACAGCGGCUCGGGAAGAGCAUGAGGAGAUGGCUGAUCAGGUAUUCUGAAUGUUCCAUGAUAGUGGAGAUGAAAAAGUGAUAACCAUUAACGAUCCGAUUCUGCAAGUUCGGCAGAGGAUCGAGCAGAUUGGACGGCUUAACUCACAGGUAGAUGCGCUAAUGGCCGAGGCAGAAGAAUUUAAAAAGUGUAUGGAUAUCCUUGCCUCGAAAAAGGAAGCCAUUCAAGCUCAGUUGGAGAUGUCUGAUGCCCAGCUUUGAUCUGCGAAAGAAAAUGCUUCGGGGCAGAUAGAGAAGAUGAAAGAGCUUGAGCAUCGGUUGGAUUUGGCCACUUCAGAUAAAGCAGAUUUGGCUAAAGAACUUGAAGUGGCUAGAUCUGAGGUGAUCGAAGCCAAUAAAAGAGCUGAUGCCAAAGUGGCUCGGUUCAGGAUCGAUGUCGAGGUUAACCAAGCCAAAGCUGAGAGCAUGGUCGAACAUGCAAAAUGGCAAGCUCGGAGAGAAGCUCUCGAGGAGGUCAGAGCUCAGGGCUUCGAUAUUAGGAUUGAGGAGAACAAAGCUCGAAGGUCGGCCUUUCCUGAGGAGGAUUCUGAUGACUCGGGGGAGUCUGAAGAUAAGGACGAUGCCGAGAAUACGGCCUCCGAUGAAGAUUGAGUCAUUUAGGGCCUUAGGUCGUUUGCUGCGUUCUUUGGAUACCGCUUUUGUUUUUUUUAUAAAGAACUUCCUUUUGGCAGAGUAGCCGCCUCUAUACAAAAAAUUUGUAAAUGUAAAUCUUUCUUCCUUUUGAAGCAAAAUGGCCUUUCAAGCUAAAUAGAUAGUUUGAAUUUUAAUCUAUGUUGCCUUCGGGCCUUGUGGGUAGUCCCCUUUGCUUUAUCGGGCUCGAACAUCCUUCAGCCUUAAAUAGUCAAGUGUUCAUUUGAAUCCAAAGAAAUUAGUAAUUUUACUCGAAGUAAAGUAGCCCGGCGUAAUGGUCGAGUGAGUGCUUGCUCGAACUCAAAAUAAAAAUAGCCCGUGGGCUUAGUAGUCAAGUGAAUGAUUCAAACUCGAUGUAAAAGUAGCCCGUAGGCUUAGCAGUCGAUUGAAUGAUUCGAACUCGAUGCAAUAUAGCCCGUAGGCGUAAUAGUCNNNNNNNNNNNNNNNNNNNNNNNNNUGAAAGGGACACCGGGGGUGGAUCUUCUCGGGCAGUAGAAGAUAUUUCAAGGGAUGAGUUUGGGAUAGUUGACAUUGGCGGAUCCCCUCAGAUUUCGGAUGCCAUGAUUCGAGAGGUCGUCAUGUUGGAGGAUCGGUCCUAUGAGGGUAUUCAGGAGUCGGUCGAUAUCCAUGGUUUUCUGGAGGGGCUCGAGUCAGGUGCCUCGAAGGAGGUUACCGGUUUUGGUGGAAUGUCGGUACCUAAAAAAGCAUCGUGGUCGGGUUCUACCGAGCCUUCAUCGAUUCAUAAACUGGUGAACCGAUUUUGGUCCCCGAGCAUCGAUCCCGACCGAAGGCGGAAGAUAGUGCUCUCCGUACCUACGGAUACCCGAAUUUUUUCUUCCCCUGUGGGGAUUUCCAGCUACCUACAGUCCUUGGUGACCGAAGAAGAUCAAUCAGUGAUGAAUGCGGUGGGGCUCACCUGUCUCUUCAACGAGGCCCAACAUGCUUUGAUUCGGGUAACUCUGAUGACGUUUUCGUUGCUUCUUUUACACAUAGAGUUGUAGGUAAUUCUAAUGUUUCUUCUUUUGUUUGCAGGCUUCGGUGUUGCAUCACGAGGCCUUUCUUCGAAUAUGGGAGGAGCAUGAUGCCGAGGUUCGAAGCCUCACCGAGAAGAGUGACUCGUACAAUCUCCUUAGUGAAAAACUUCGAGCAGAUUUGAUAGCGGCUCGGGAAGAGCACGAGGAGAUGGCUGAGCAGGCAUUUCGAAUGUUCCGUGAUAGUGAUGAUGAAAAAGAGAUAACCACUAAUGAUCUAAUUCUACAGGUUUGGCAUAGGAUCGAGCAGAUUGGACAGCUUAACUCAUAGGUAGAUGCGCUACUUGCCGAGGCAGAAGAAUUUAAAAAGUGUAUGGAUAUCCUUGCCUCAAAAAAGGAAGUCGUCGAAGCUCAGUUGGAGCUGUCUGAUGCCCAACUUCGAUCUGCAAAAGAAAAUGCUUUGGGAAUGAUCGAAAAUAUGAAAGAGCUUCAGCAUCGGUUGGAUUUGGCCACUUCAGAUAAAGCAGAUUUGGCCAAAGAACUUGAAGCGGCCAAAUCUGAGGUGAUCGAGGCCAAUAAAAGAUCCGAUGCCAAAGCGGCUCAGUUCAUGAUCGAUGUCGAGGUUAACCAAGCCAAAGCUGAGAGCAUGGUCGAACAUGCAAAAUGGCAAGCUCGGAGAGAGGCUCUCGAGGAGGUCAGAGCUCAGGGCUUCGAUAUUGGGGCCGAGAUUGAAGUCGCCAGGGCGGAGGAGAACAAAGCUCGGAGGUUGGCCUUUCCUGAGGAGGAUUCCGAUGACUUGGGGAAGUCUGAAGAUGAGGACGAUGCCGAGAAUGCGGCCUCCGAUGAAGAUUGAGUCAUUUAGGGCCUUCGGUCAUUUGCUGCAUUCUUUUGAUAUUACUUUCGGUUUUUGUAUAAAGAACUUCCUUUUGGCAGAAUAGCCGCCUCUGUACAAAAAAAUUGUAAAUAUAAAUCUUUCUUCCUUUUGAAGUAAAAUAGCCUUUCAAACUAAAUAGAUAGUUUGAAUUUUAAUCUCAGUUGCCUUUGGGCCUUGUGGGUAGUCCCCUUUGCUUUAUCGGGCUCGAACAUCCUUCAGCUUAAAUAGUCAAGUGUUCAUUUGAAUUCGAAGAAAUAAGUAGUUUUGCUCGAAAUAAUGUAGCCCGCAGGCAUAAUGGUCGUGUGAGUGCUUUCUUGAACUCGAAGUAAAAGUAGCCCGUAAGCUUAGUAGUCGAGUGAAUGAUUCGAACUCGAUGUAAUAUAGCCCGUAGGCGUAAUAGUCGAGUGAGCACUUACUCGAGCUCGAAAUAAAAGUAGCCCGCAGGCUUAGUAGUCGAGUGAAUGAUUCGAACUCGAAAUAAUGUAGCCCGUAGGCGUAAUAGUCAAAGUAGCAUGUAGGCUUAAUGGUCGAGUGAGUGCUUGCUCGAACUCGAAAUAAAAGUAGCUUGUAGGCUUAGCAGUCGAGUGAAUGAUUCGAACUUGAUACAAUGUAGCCCGUAUGCGUAAUAGUCAAAGUAGCAUGUAGGCUUAGUAGUCGUGUGAAUAAUUCGAACUCGAAAUAAUGUAGCCCGUAGGCGCAAUGGUCAAAGUAGCCCGUAGGCUUAAUGGUCGAGUGAGUGCUUGCUCGAACUCAAAAUAAAAGUAGCCCGUAGGCUUAGCAGUCGAGUGAGUGCUUGCUCGAACUCGAUCCUGUUUGCAUAAUAAAUCUUGAACAUAGAAUAUCGGUAAAAAGAUUGUCUUUGCAAGUCAUUAUACAUGUGUUCCUGUUUUGCGCCAGGGCUCGGGCCAACUAUAUAAGCAUGGUUCGUUUUGAUCAUUUGGCUCUUACAACAUUUCAUGUUGAGACAUUGUUUGUCAUGAAAUAAUGAAGUAACUUCCUUUGCACCGAACUUGAUAAUCAUCACAGAUGCGUUCAAUGAUAAAGCCCUCCAGUAUACGAGGUUGAUUUUAAAGAGGCCUCGGAUACUUAUCAGUGGUAUCGUUUCUGCUAUAUGGCUGGUAUCGAUCUCUGGUCGAUUUUUGCUUGGUAGUUCUUUUCGUAACGGACCUAGAAAUCAACUGGUCAUCUUCGACUCUUAUUUUGGAUUGAUAUCGAUUGUGCACAUCGGUCCAAGUAAUAGCUGGGUAUUCGGUCAGAUUUUGCUUCAGCCGCUGUGAAGCCAUCGAGCUCCGCUUGUUUAGACCUUGAGUGAAAGCUUGAACAGUCCAAGUGACUGGUGGCAGAUCCAUUCGUUCCAUUUGAAAACGAGAUAUGAACUCCCUCAGCAUCUCGUUAUCUUUUUGUAUUACCUUGAACAAGUCCGACUUUCUGGUUUCGACCUUAAUGGCUCCGGCAUGUGCUUUUACGAAGCAAUCUGUAAGCAUAGCAAAAGAAUCAAUAGAGUUAGAUGGUAAAUUAUGAUACCAUACUAUUACCCCCUUUGACAGGGUUUCACCGAAUUUUUUCAGUAAUACAGAUUCGAUCUCAUCAUCUUCCAAAUCAUUGCCCUUGAUGGCACACGUGUAAGAAGUGACGUGCUCGUUGGGGUCGGUCGUUCCGUUAUAUUUGGGUAUUUCGGGCAUACGGAAUUUUUUGGGGAUUGGUUUUGGGGCUGCACUCGAGGGAAAAGGCUUUUGAAUGAAUUUUUUCGAAUCUAGCCCUUUUAUCAUUGGUGGAGCUCCCGGGAUUUGAUCGACCCUGGAAUUAUAUGUUUCAACUUUUUUAUCAUUGGCUUCGACUCGUUUUGUGAGUUCCUAGAGCAUUUUAGUGAUUUCGGGAGUAGUCCCCGAUUCUUGCUCAUUUGACUUCACUAUGGCUGGUUCCGUUCUGUGGGUAAUUUCUCGAAGCGGAUUGGGCUCCGGUCUGCUUUGUGCCUGAGUUUGACUCUGUAACUGAGCUAUCGCUACUUGUUGGACUUGUAACAUCUCGAAGAUCAUCCGUAAGCUGAUUCCGAUCUCCUCCACGUUAUGGGUGUCUCGAGCUACAGAUCGAGUGCCGCCCUGAAUGCUUCUUUCCAGUUCGGAACGCUGAUGCGCCUCUAGAGCUAUUUGUAAAUUGACAUCCAACAGUACUUCAACUCGAAUUUCGUGUGCUGCGAUUCGAGCCUCAGUGCCAUCAUCGAGUGGCCUUUCGGCCCCGGGUGCCAAGUUGUUGGUUUCAUCUUGAAGGCCGGCUUCGUGGUCGAUAGGUAAAGCCAUUGCUGAUUUGAAGUUGUGAGCUGGUGUGUAUUGUAGAUUUAUAUCAAACAAUCACUGUUAUCCUUAGCCCCACGGUGGGCUCCAAACUGUUUACCCGAAAAUCGGAUAGAGUUGAAUUUGUAUAUGUUUCUAAGGACACAUGAUAUAACUUGAUACAAAUUGUAGAGCGAAAAUGUAAAAAUCUCUUUUCUUGGCAAAAUGGAAUGAAAUAUGAAACAGAGAAAAGGAAAUGUUCAUGAAUCAGGCAACGUGCCCUGUAAAUGUGUUAACAUCCCUCCUUUUAUAUUAGAGGGAUCCUACUUUUUCUAUAAUAAUAAAAAUAUGUAGUAGAGAUCCCAUGAUGAAUUGUCUUUUCCUUGAUUUCUGCCAAGAUUCUCUCCCAUAGUGUGGUUGCAACAGCUUUUGUCUGCGAUACUGGCUCGAGCUCGGUAUUGGAUCGAGCCUUUGGUCUUGGUUCGAGCUCGAUUCUGACUUGGGGUCUCGAUAUUCGGGGUGAGUGUUGGUCGGUCUAGGCAUCUUUGAUAAUCUCUGCCUUACCUCGUAGUUCGAUUUGGAUAUGAGCUCGAUAAUGAUACAGAGCUUGUCAUUGAUCGGUCUUAUAGUUCGAAACUCGACGCCCUUACUUCGGACCUCGACCGAACUUGUCAUACAUAUACCCUUUGAUCGAAACAUCAUCGUCUCGACCAGUCCGUACGACUGAGUCAAUCGAUUUUGACCGUACACAGUAAUCUUUGGGAGAUGUUUAGAGUGGACUGUGUAUGGUAGUGUUUUAGGGACAUUGGCUAAUAUUGGUUCGAAGGAAAAUAGGCACAUGAUAGAAUCAGCUUUAUCAAAAUCUGCAAAUUUUCUAUACGUCUCGAUCUCGGAGUCAUACUCGUAUAAACAUCGAGGAUGUGCAGGCGAAUCACUUACCAGGAAAAGUAACUUUUUGCCAUCAAACCAUAUUAGAAAAUCAUGAUUAAGGAAUCCAGAUCCGGGCUGAAGUUGGACAAAGCGUGUGAAGCUGUCCAAUGGUUGUUUUGCAUAAUCAUAAGCAAAAAUUACUAUGAACUUUCUGAAGGCACAAACAAGGGGGUAAGUACACCUUGCGCCAAACGCAAACAUGCACCAAAUCGAAAAGAAAUUUUGUCGAACUUGGGAUUCUUAGCAUAAAGUUUGAUUACCUCUGAUGAUUAAUAACUCUAGCUUGUCCUCCUUUUGUAUCAAAAGUGACAAUACAACCGUCAUCUCGAGCCAAUGUAAGCACUCUUGCACGUAAACAGGUUUGCCGACAAAGGAACAUCGUACAACUUCAGUCUAAAUUGGAAUUCAUGCCGCACUCCAGGUUCUUCUUAUGAAUAUAUAUGAAAUUUUUAUUGUCAUCUUUGUCGCACCUCCUUUUUUUUUCGAGGGUUAGGGGAGUUUUUCCAAUUAAAGUGGCAUUAUUCGAAAUGAGAUUAUUUAUUUAAUUAGAGUCGUCACUUGGAAUAAUUAUUAUGGUAUCUCAAGUCACCGCUUUAUUUUAAAAUUCCAAAUUUAAAAAAUUUACUCUAUUUAUGGUUCGCGAACACAAAAGAUCGGGUAAGUAAUUCUGUUAGCCCGGGAGAAGGUGUGAGACAUUCCCGAGUUCCGUGAUUUUUAGCACGGUCGCUUAACAAUUAAUAUUUGGUCUAAUUAUCUUAUUUAUUACAUAUUUUAAGACUUAUGUGCACUUUUACCUUCUACCUGUUUUUAAUUAUUUAUUUAACUGCUUUUAGUAUUUAUGUAAUUUAUUUGAACAAGUCGUAAUGUCACGCACUCGUUAUUUUUGUACAUAUUGCAAACCGCGUCACUUGACCGCGAUUUACAACAUGUUUAUUAUUAUUAUUUGAAGUUGUGGUCGAGUCGCGUGAAACUUGCGAUCGAAUUGGGGAUUAUGUAUCAUGACUAUGCCACGGGAACCGUAUCCAUAAUCACGAUAAUUUAUUAUUAAUCACGCCUAAAGCAAGCUACGAUGUUCGAAUCAUUCUUCCUAAAUUAAUUUGAGAUUGUUAUAAAGUCAUAAGGUAUGAAUAUUAUUGUGGAGGAAAUGAAAUAAAUUAAUUAUAGAAAAGGUAGACUAGCUUAUGUGCUUCAGACCGUCAACACUAGGCCAACAACAUUCAUUUGGCCUAGAUCUAAUUCUUUUGAUAUCACCCUACGAUCCAACACGUGAUAGAACACAUUUCCAACUAUUUCCCAAAGGCCAGUUAACCCAAUUCUUCUCAAUUUUAACUGAGUAAACCCCAGGCCCUUAUUCUUUUAAUUUCAAUUAAACACUAGUCCAAUAAGCUAAUUAUCAUCUAAUAAUGAAAUCUCAUCGUUUAAAUAUAAGAUAUCAAUUCAAAUGAAAAAAAAUUGAGCAUAGAAAAGACAAACUAGAGCAAACAAUCACUGGCACAAUAUUAAAGAAACAGUAACUUCAAGAAGGGAUGGACCAUAAUUUGCUGUUGUUUCUCCAAAUUUGAUUAAACAAACACUUUGAAUAAACUUACAGCAACAAUGUUGUUUGAAAAACGGACAGGGACCGCAACCGAUGACGGCAACCUCUAACGAUACUCGCCGAACCUCGAUCCAAGAGAAAGUUAGCAGUGACUAAAGACGAAGCUUUUUGUGGGUGUUUUACUAUGGCUAUGCUGCUGCGUUUUCAGCUGAAAAUUUGGACUGUUUCGAGGUGCGACGCAAUUGUGUUUUUAGGGACUGUUUUAGCUGCUUUGGCUUGGUUUUGGGUAGUAUUAGAGCUGAAUUUCGGGGAUGUUUGCAGCUGAUGUUUGCUACUGUUUUAGGAGGCUGUUCGGGGGCUAUUUCGAGUGAUUUUUCAAGUGUUUUUGUGAGGUAUUUUGGGACUGCUUUCAGCUACUUUGGAGCUGUUGCGCUAGUGUUUCAGGGGCUGGAUUUCGGGUAAUUUGUAAGUGAAAUAUGGGGUAUUUGGGGUGAAUUGCUAGAUUUAUCGAAAGAAUGACACA